CUGCAUUUUAUAACUCAAUCUUUAUUUCAGACACCCAAACUUAAACCUCACUUUGCUGUGAUUUGUCCAUGGAGUUAGUUUGUUGUCUUACUCUCUACUUUAUUAUUUUAUUUGUUCUAAAAUCACAACUUUGUGCAUUAAAAUCUCUCGGAAAUAAUAAUGAACAAAUAAAACAACACACAACAUACCCUCCAUCCCCCCUUUAUUUCUUUUGGCACAAUAGAUUUUAAAUGACUACAUGACACAGAAUUAGCAAAACCACAGCUGAAAGCCAUUUACAGAGAUCAAGUCACAAAUGAGAAAUGAAGUUUUGAGACAUAUCCCAGACAGUGUGAAAUGUUAUGGAGUUUUUAUCUCUUGCAAUUAAAACCUUCAGUCUUAAGGAUAUAUCCCAGGUAUCCUGAUGGAUGUGUGCUGUAAGACAAAACCUGAAAGAAGCUCAGGAUACCGUGGCUGGUGCCAGCAAAGAGUUAAAUCAUCUGCAUGCUAAGUGUGCAGACAGCGAGAAUUUAACAGGAACUUUAAAAAGAGAGUUACAGAAAGUACAGCAGUGCUCAGAGGAGAAGAAAGUGCUUUUCCAGGAUCCUGUAGGGUGGGGUUUAUUCAGUUGUUGUUGGACAUCCACGCUCCCAUCGGGGGCUCGAAAUCUCUCGGUUCAAGAGGUUUCACGAGAACCUUUCCCUAAGCCUGACUCCCUCCUGAUGGAGGGAAAUGUGCUCCUUUGGUGCAGAGAGCGCCCUGCUUUGAAUUCUGUCCACAGACAUUCCAAACUUUCUGGCUGUUUGUUCCUCUCUCUGGCCGAAGAGUGCGCUGUGCUGAGGAUUCGCACAUCUCAGUCUGGCUUUGGUGUCAGGGGCUCCUUUGAGUGUCCUGCACUUUUAUUUGACUGUCGGGAGCCCUCCAGCCUUAGGAGAUGUCUGGGAGGCCGGAGAGAGCAGCGGGAGCCCCGGCAGAGCCCCGCGCUGGGUUCGGGCCAUUGUGGCAUCACCGUGCGCGUCCGUGGCAACCGUGGAAUCGCCGCCUCCGGCUCCGCGUUUGUCCCGGCUGGUCCCGGCACUCCAGGUCCUGCCCUGCCGGGAGCCGCUGCCCUCCGACCGUCCCAUCCGGUCCUGCUGGAGGAGGAGCAGCCUCGCAGCAGCUCCAGGCACCGGCGGCACUGUCCGAUCAGGCAGUGA
rnacentral:lncRNA from 1 species